AAAAACCGUCGCCCCCGCGCAGGCGGGGGCCGCUAGCAGUGGUGAGCCGGCUCCAGCGGCUCCCGCCUCCGCGGGGGCGACGGCUGAGU
rnacentral:pre_miRNA from 1 species